UGGAGAGUGACCCGUAUCUCCACACCAGCUGGAUUGGAUCGGGCAAUACCACCUGGAGGUGAGCAAUUGAGAUAUGCUAGUUGGUGGAUUUCUCCUCUGCCGAGCUUUGCUUCUCCACUUCUUGUAGCUAUUGAAGUCUCGGUGAAGAGAUGUUAGAAGGAUUGAUGUAUGGAUGCUUCUUUGGUAGCUGUCAGCAGGGGUUCUUGUUGGCUGUGAGCUCUUGAUUGUAGUCAUACCUCAAGGACUUGGAUUCGGGACGAGCAUCUCGACACGGGAUUUCUUGGCACGA